UUUCCGUAGGUGAACCUGCGGAAGGAUCAUUACUGAGUGAGGGCCCCUCGGGGUCCAACUUCCCACCCGUGUUUAACGAACCUUGUUGCUUCGGCGGGCCCGCCUCACGGCCGCCGGGGGGCAUCUGCCCCCGGGCCCGCGCCCGCCGAAGCCACCUGUGAACGCUGUCUGAAGUAUGCAGUCUGAGACAAUUAUUAAAUUAAUUAAAACUUUCAACAACGGAUCUCUUGGUUCCG
rnacentral:misc_RNA from 1 species